rnacentral:rRNA from 1 species
GAACGCUGGCGGCAUGCCUUACACAUGCAAGUCGAACGGCAGCACGGGAGCAAUCCUGGUGGCGAGUGGCGAACGGGUGAGUAAUAUAUCGGAACGUGCCCAGUCGUGGGGGAUAACGUAGCGAAAGCUACGCUAAUACCGCAUACGAUCUAUGGAUGAAAGCGGGGAUCGCAAGACCUCGCGCGAUUGGAGCGGCCGAUAUCAGAUUAGGUAGUUGGUGAGGUAAAGGCUCACCAAGCCGACGAUCUGUAGCUGGUCUGAGAGGACGACCAGCCACACUGGGACUGAGACACGGCCCAGACUCCUACGGGAGGCAGCAGUGGGGAAUUUUGGACAAUGGGCGCAAGCCUGAUCCAGCAAUGCCGCGUGCAGGAUGAAGGCCUUCGGGUUGUAAACUGCUUUUGUACGGAACGAAACGGUGAGCUCUAAUACAGUUUGCUAAUGACGGUACCGUAAGAAUAAGCACCGGCUAACUACGUG